UACAGAGGGUGCAAGCGUUGUUCGGAAUUAUUGGGCGUAAAGCGCGUGUAGGCGGCUUUGCAAGUCGGGUGUGAAAGCCCUCGGCUCAACCGAGGAAGUGCGCCCGAAACUGCAGAGCUUGAGUGCCGGAGAGGAUGGCGGAAUUCCCCAAGUAGAGGUGAAAUUCGUAGAUAUGGGGAGGAACACCGGUGGCGAAGGCGGCGACCUGGACGGACACUGACGCUGAGACGCGAAAGCGUGGGGAGCAAACAGG
rnacentral:rRNA from 1 species